rnacentral:rRNA from 1 species
AUUGAACGCUGGCGGCAGGCCUAACACAUGCAAGUCGAGCGGUAGAGAGGUGCUUGCACCUCUUGAGAGCGGCGGACGGGUGAGUAAUGCCUAGGAAUCUGCCUGGUAGUGGGGGAUAACGUCCGGAAACGGACGCUAAUACCGCAUACGUCCUACGGGAGAAAGCAGGGGACCUUUGGGCCUUGCGCUAUCAGAUGAGCCUAGGUCGGAUUAGCUAGUUGGUGAGGUAAUGGCUCACCCAGGGGACGAUCCGUAACUGGUCUGAGAGGAUGAUCAGUCACACUGGAACUGAGACACGGUCCAGACUCCUACGGGAGGCAGCAGUGGGGAAUAUUGGACAAUGGGCGAAAGCCUGAUCCAGCCAUGCCGCGUGUGUGAAGAAGGUCUUCGGAUUGUAAAGCACUUUAAGUUGGGAGGAAGGGUACUUACCUAAUACGUGAGUAUUUUGACGUUACCGACAGAAUAAGCACCGGCUAACUCUGUGCCAGCAGCCGCGGUAAUAC